CCUACGGGAGGCUGCAGUAGGGAAUUUUCCACAAUGGACGAAAGCCUGAUGGAGCAACGCCGCGUGAGUGAAGAAGGUCUUCGGCUCGUAAAGCCCUGUUGGUAGUGAAGAAAGAUAGAGGUAGUAACUGGCCUUGAUUUGACGGUAACUACUCAGAAAGUCACGGCUAACUACGUGCCAGCAGCCGCGGUAAUACGUAGGUGGCAAGCGUUGUCCGGCUUUAUUGGGCGUAAAGGGAGCGCAGGCGGUCUUUUAAGUCUGAUGUGAAAGCCUUCGGCUCAACCGGAGAAGUGCAUCAGAAACUGGUAAACUUGAGUGCAGAAGAGGAGAGUGGAACUCCAUGUGUAGCGGUGAAAUGCGUAGAUAUAUGGAAGAACACCAGUGGCGAAGGCGGCUCUCUGGUCUGCAACUGACGCUGAGGUUCGAAAGCGUGGGUAGCGAACAGGAUUAGAUACCCCUGUAGUC
rnacentral:rRNA from 1 species